rnacentral:lncRNA from 1 species
AGUCAGUAAGUAUUUAUUGAACAUCUGCUCUCUUUAAAGCACAACUAUAAGAACCACGAGAAUAUAACAGAGUCAAAAAACAAAGUCCUGACCCUGAGGAACCUUGAUAAGAACUCAUAAUGAGAUCUUAUUGUUUGCAAAGUUACUAAGAACAGGACACUCAUUUCGUUUUUCAUUUAUCCUCACCUAAAAUUCCAUGUAUAGAUGAUACUUCUUUAUGUAUUUCUCUCUUGUUAAAAGAAAAAAAAAGGCAAAUCAAGCAAAUGUCAAGUCUGUUUUUAUUAAAAUAUACAUACACUCACACAACUGGCAUUUUCAAGUGGUA